AUAACAACGAUAAGGGCGACUGUAAGGUCGCCCAUUUUGUGUCUGCUUAACAACUUGGUUUGGCCGCUGAUCAGUUAAGAUAGAUACAUAACUUCUGGCGUUACGCAUAGCUGGCUGUUAGCUCAAUUCCUUACUGUAAAUGACUAACGGUUUUUGUAACCAUGACCUGAGCUCUGCUCAGGUUUUUUUAU
rnacentral:sRNA from 1 species